rnacentral:rRNA from 1 species
AUUGAACGCUGGCGGCAUGCUUUACACAUGCAAGUCGAACGGCAGCGCGGGCUUCGGCCUGGCGGCGAGUGGCGAACGGGUGAGUAAUGCAUCGGAAUGUGCCCAGUAGUGGGGGAUAGCCCGGCGAAAGCCGGAUUAAUACCGCAUACGACCUGAGGGUGAAAGCGGGGGACCGAAAGGCCUCGCGCUAUUGGAGCGGCCGAUGUCGGAUUAGCUAGUUGGUGGGGUAAAGGCUUACCAAGGCGACGAUCCGUAGCUGGUCUGAGAGGACGACCAGCCACACUGGGACUGAGACACGGCCCAGACUCCUACGGGAGGCAGCAGUGGGGAAUUUUGGACAAUGGGGGCAACCCUGAUCCAGCCAUGCCGCGUGCGGGAAGAAGGCCUUCGGGUUGUAAACCGCUUUUGUUCGGGAAGAAAUCCUCUGGGCUAAUACCCCGGGGGGAUGACGGUACCGGAAGAAUAAGCACCGGCUAACUACGUG